GAUGAACGCUGGCGGCGUGCCUAAUACAUGCAAGUCGAGCGAACAGAUGAGGAGCUUGCUCCUCUGACGUUAGCGGCGGACGGGUGAGUAACACGUGGAUAACCUACCUAUAAGACUGGGAUAACUUCGGGAAACCGGAGCUAAUACCGGAUAAUAUAUUGAACCGCAUGGUUCAAUAGUGAAAGACGGUUUUGCUGUCACUUAUAGAUGGAUCCGCGCCGCAUUAGCUAGUUGGUAAGGUAACGGCUUACCAAGGCAACGAUGCGUAGCCGACCUGAGAGGGUGAUCGGCCACCUGAGAAGGGAAACACGGACAAGACGCCUGCGGGAGGGAGCAGAAGGGAAUGUUACGCAGUGGGCGAAAGCCUGACGGAGCAACGCCGCGUGAGUGAUGAAGGUCUUCGGAUCGUAAAACUCUGUUAUGAGGGAAGAACAAAUGUGUAAGUAACUAUGCACGUAUUGACGGUACCUAAUCAGAAAGCCACGGCUAACUACGUG
rnacentral:rRNA from 1 species